rnacentral:rRNA from 1 species
ACGCACGCUGGCGGCGUGCUUAACACAUGCCAGUCGAACGGAAAGGCCCUGCUUUUGUGGGGUGCUCGAGUGGCGAACGGGUGAGUAACACGUGAGUAACCUGCCCUUGACUUUGGGAUAACUUCAGGAAACUGGGGCUAAUACCGGAUAGGAGCUCCUGCUGCAUGGUGGGGGUUGGAAAGUUUCGGCGGUUGGGGAUGGACUCGCGGCUUAUCAGCUUGUUGGUGGGGUAGUGGCUUACCAAGGCUUUGACGGGUAGCCGGUCUGAGAGGGUGACCGGCCACAUUGGGACUGAGAUACGGCCCAGACUCCUACGGGAGGCAGCAGUGGGGAAUAUUGCACAAUGGGCGGAAGCCUGAUGCAGCAACGCCGCGUGCGGGAUGACGGCCUUCGGGUUGUAAACCGCUUUCGCCUGUGACGAAGCGUGAGUGACGGUAAUGGGUAAAGAAGCACCGGCUAACUACGUG